rnacentral:rRNA from 1 species
UGCGUAGGCGGUUUGGUAAGUCAGAUGUGAAAUUCCUGGGCUCAACCGAGGAACUGCAUUUGAUACUGCCAGACUAGAGUACUGGAGAGGAGACUGGAAUUCACGGUGUAGCAGUGAAAUGCGUAGAUAUCGUGAGGAAGGCCAGUGGCGAAGGCGAGUCUCUGGACAGUAACUGACGCUGAGGUACGAAGGCCAGGGGAGCAAACG